AGAUGCAUGAUAAGCACCCCAAGCCACCGCAGGGGAGGCUGAAAGUCUCCUUUAUUGCUGUGGGAGAUUCUCCCCAGUGUGGUAUGACAGGUAGAACUCAGAGGUUGAAGUUUCUGAACUAUUUGAUGAUCUCCCAGAUACCACGUCUUUUUCACUAAACUAGAAUGAAAGAAAUCCAAACAGGCAAAUAUAAGAAUUAUUAACUUAAAAACAAAUAAAUAAAACAGUACUGAAAAAUUAUUUUGAUCCAUGUAGGAGAAGAAGGUGUCACAGCAACUAAUAAUAAGUACAAUAUGUUGUUACAAUAAGUAACUACUGCUGUUUCAUUGAUAUAGGAAGCUCUGUGUUUUAAACCAGGUUCAAGCCAAUGGCUCUCAGGAAUACUUGGUAAGUAGACACUUGUGUAGCAUAUCAGGCCAAAAAUGACAAAGAUAGAUUUACUAAUCAGGUGAGCCAAGAUACAUGCAUGGCUUUGUGCCUCACAGAAUUGAAUAUUCAGGACAGGCUGUUGGUGGAGCGAAUGCUGGCAGAACCAAACUCCAUGUGUGAAUGACUGUACCCAUAACCAGUUAUUUUUCAAUCUUCACCAAUUACAGAGAAGCAGAACAACUUCAGGACUGAAGUAUAAAGGGUUUGGGGUGAAGUAUUUGAACUUGAAACUUGUAGCUCACCAAUUAGGACAAUGACAGGUUGUGAAACUUAGUGUAUGUUCAGACAAGGUCAUUGAAAUCAGUCCUGGAUCUACUCUAGCCUUCACUCUCUAAUAUGGGAGGAGUCUUUGCUUAAUGAAAAGUGUGUAUGUGGAUUUCUUAAAUGAGUAUUUAUUUAUUUUUAGUGUGGAUUUUUACAGCUGCUAUUUUUAAUGAAAUAAAUACAAAUUUGUUUCUGCCCACAGCUGCGUGCCAUUGCAAGUUUGGGUUGGAGUGCUGAAAAUGGUUCUGUCCUCAGGGAACUUCGAUGUGGUUCAGCCUCCAGAAGCAAACUGGGAAUAUUUUUGUCCAAACUGCCCAGCAUCCUGGUGUGACAAAGCAAAAUUUUUGGCAUUACUGUGGCUCUUUUUAUGUCUCUUGUACUGAAGAUUUUCCUACAGUUGAUUUGUGCUUUUGGGAGAGCUGAAUAAAUCAGACCUACAGCUUAACAUAAGGAAUAUUAGUGUUCAUCUUUCUUAGCCUUUUUCUUCAAAUUUGUCUGUCGUACUUCUAGUGCCUAUUCUCGUUGUUUUGAUUUUCUGUGUUUGCAAGCAAGAUUUAGAUUAUUUAUAACCUUUCUUCUUACACAUUUUUGGCAUUCUCUGUGUAGAUCUAUCAGUAGGUAAUUGUCAUUUCACUUUGUAGGCCAAAACAAAAAUCCUAACUCAGAAUGCUAUCUGCCUGCCCUUCUAAUUUGCUUACAAGGUGCUUAGUGCUUUAUGUUCUACAUUUAAUAUUCACUCUGUGAGGCCUAAUCUAUGCUGUAUUGUGCACAGACAGUGCUCUGGAAUUAGCAGCCAGCACAACAGGAUUAUAAUUGUGUGUAAUCAAACCGCCAGGCAAAUUGCAAAGCAAUUGCAAGUAUGGCACUCUGAGGCUCGACCUGUCAUCACUGCAGUUCUUGUAUCUGUUUUCCUUUUCCCCUUCAUUGGUAAGUCUGGUGGUACUGCAAUCUGGGAUGUACAUGCCUCUCCAAGGCUCUCCAGGCAAACACUAUCCUCAUGACUUCAAAUGCAUGAAGUAACGUGGUAGCAAAAACAGUAAUUAUCAAUUCAAAAGAUAGAAGCUAAAAGGUCAUAUCCUGGCUCUUGUUUUGACUUUCCCUGGACCCUGCAUUAAGCCCUCAUGUUUGUUGCUGCUGCUUAGUCUAUGUAAGUUUACAAGAUUGUUAAAAAUCCUAUCGGAGUUAUGUCAAUUAACCUUUUCAAAUAAAUUUCUUAUUUUUUCUUUUUCA
rnacentral:lncRNA from 1 species